UUCAUGACAACCAAUAAAACUACCAGUGGUACCCCUGUCGACGUUUUUGCAGGGAUCCGAACCUGAGCAGUUUGGUGUAUUAACCUCCGAACUUAUCAAUGCACCAUCAAGACACAGAAUGAAGUCAAUACAAUGGAUAUACUUGACUUUAUAAUUCGCAUGAAAUAGAGAUAAGAGUCUUCCAACAGAGGACAUCAACCGGACUUGAACCCCGGUCUCCAGGGGAAAUUGAGCCGCGGUCGCCAGUGGGUUAGGCAGAAUACACUCCACUGCACCACUGAGGCGAUGACAAUACACAAUGAUCAAUCAUCAAUAAAGAGGAUAUACAUGACAUUAAAAUGUAUGUGUGUUUUUCUAUUAUUUCCCUUAUGUUUUUUUUCAUGACGACCAAUAAAAUACGACAGUGUUACCCCUUAUGUUUUUUUCAUGACGACC